UCUUAUUAUAAAGAUAGUUAUUCUAUGAGGAUUAUGUUUGCCAAACUGACCUUAAAAACGGCUAGGAAUACCACAAAAAUUGGGUCGAUUGGCAGUAUUUGCUUUAAAUAAUUGAUAAGGCGUAAAUGAGGCCAGUUAAGGGAACCAUGUCACCUGUUGUGCCUCCUCCGCAAAUCGGCUACCUGGGCCACGCAAUCACCUGGGAACUGUUGACGGACAAGGAACUCUCGCCAUGGACAACGGACUGACUGAUGCCACGCCCACUGCCGCCGCCUUCCGGCUGAUUCUGCUUAGUAAAUCGAAUCCCGUAAUGGGUUGCUACAUGUUCUGGACCAGUCUGCUGGUGCUCAAGAUGCUCGUUAUGUCGCUACUCACCGCCCGCCAGCGAAUGAAGACCAAGACCUAUGCCAAUCCGGAGGAUUUGCGCCUCAGUCGGAGCCCGGAGGUUCGAUUCGGGGAUCCCAAUGUGGAGCGAGUGCGACGGGCCCACCGUAACGACCUGGAAAACAUUCUGCCCUUUCUUCUGAUGUCGCUGGUGUAUAUAGCCAGCGGACCGAAUCCCCUGACCGCCCGUCUGCUCAUUCGGAUCGGAGCAAGUGCCCGACUGCUGCACACGGUGGUCUACGCCAUCAUCCCGGUUCCGCAACCAGCAAGAAGCCUGGCCUUCUUCACCACCUUCGCCAUCACCUGCUUUGAGGCGGGCUACGUGCUCGUCUGCUGCAUCAAGUACAUUUAGACCACUGCUGACCCCACUUAGCCAACUAACUACUCACCCACUCGCAUUAACAGCACCAGUUGUGUCAAGUGUACCCUGCGUAGAGGUGUAGUUUAGCUGGCCCACAAAAAUAUAAUAGAGAUACUACUUGUCCCAUGGCUGCACAGCACCUUAGAUUCAGUUCGACGCAAUUCGUAACCAGUUUGAUCGCAUGCUUAUGAUCUCC